GGGUGCGAUCAUACCAGCAAUAAUGCACGGAUCCCAUCAGAACUCGAAGUUAAGCUUGCUUGGGCGAGAGCAGUACUAGGAUGGGUGACCUCCUGGGAAGUCCUCGUGUUGCACCCCU
rnacentral:rRNA from 1 species